ACCAAGGCUACGACGGGUCGCUGGUCUGAGAGGACGACCAGCCACACUGGCACUGAGAUACGGGCCAGACUCCUACGGGAGGCAGCAGUGAGGAAUAUUGCGCAAUGGGGGAAACCCUGACGCAGCAACGCCGCGUGUGGGAAGAAGGCCUUCGGGUCGUAAACCACUUUUGCACGGGACGAAAAAGGGAUAUCGAACAAAUAUCCCCGAUGACGGUACCGUGAGAAUAAGCCACGGCUAACUCUGUGCCAGCAGCCGCGGUAAGACAGACGGUGGCAAGCGUUGUUCGGAAUUACUGGGCGUAAAGAGUCUGUAGGUGGUUUGUCAAGUCUUUGGUGAAAGGCCGUAGCUUAACUAUGGGAAUGCCAAAGAGACUGGCAGGCUGGAGGCUGGGA
rnacentral:rRNA from 1 species